ensembl:lncRNA
UUUUAUUGCAAGCAUAUUUUUAAUACAAAAACAGAACAAAACAUGUUUAUAAUUUUAGUUUUACACCGUUGUGUCAUUAACACCCCUCCCUCCGUGAGGUCGCCAUCACACAGUAGCGCAGCAUCAACAGCCCCCCCCCCCCCCCUCAGACACAAUAAAUAAAUAAAAAUCACCUUAAGAUGUCUUCUUACUGUAAUUUCAUUUGUUUUUCAUAAACUUCAUCUCUUAGACUGAGAUCACACUGAGACAACUCGGCAUUUGAAAAAGAGCCUAGAAGAAGAGGGGGGGGGACGUGGGGGAGGGACAUGAGGGAGGAAACCUGCUCUCAUUGGUCCCAUCUGCCCAGGGUCACCUGUCACUCACAAAGUUUAGUUCUCUCUAGACUUGAAGGGCGAACCCUUUGGUCGUGGUCUGGGAAUUGUAGUCAUUAGCAAAACGAAAGAAAAAUGAGCAGAAGGCCGCCACCAGGGUUAGAAACCGAGUGAGUGAUGUACAAAAAAACACAAUAACCAUAAUACUAAAUCUCUUUGCGAAAGGUGAUAUGACAUGACACUGAAAAAUAAAUAGAUUUUUCUUUCAAGCUAAAUUAAAGUACAACUGGAUUAUAAAUUAACCAGAAAACAAAACUCACAUUCGCAAAUUCAUUUUUUUUUUUGCAUACAGUGACUCAAGUCGACGACCUCGAUCAUUUCCUGUAACAAUGACACACGUAACACACACCGCCGUGUGUCAGAGAGAGUGUGUGUGUGUGUGUGUGUGUGUGUGCGGCUGGGUGCGUUGACAUGAAGGAGGGUCUGCGGAGGAAGAGACGAUUAGUGCAUGCUGGCUGUCGAACGUCGGGUUUCACAUGUCGUAUAUCAUACGUGCCGUUAGCCGGGUGAGUCACCGCGUUGUAAUUCUCCACGACAAAACCACACUGCCCUCUGCUGAAAUGCGCGCUCACGCACACGCGAGGCUGACGCCGGCGUUCCAGCGGUCGGGAGGAGUCCGCUCUGCGGCGUUUGAGUGUGUGAGCGUUUGUCCUCGGCUGCAGCAACACCGCCGUCACCACAGUCACCACGGCGACCCUCCGAGUCAGAGGCCAGCCGCCGUGUGUGUGUGUGUGUGUGUGUGUGUGUGCGCGCGUCGGGCAUCGUUUCCCGCCUCCUCGGCUGCUCCACGCGCGCUUUGCGGAUCUGCUGAGCUGACCGCCUUCCUCGCCAACCAGUCCGUAGGAGGCCACAUGGCGGUCGUUGCAUAUUUUCUUUUUAAACUCAUCGCUGAGGCGUCCGGCCCACAGGCAAAAAUAAUGACUCGCGAUUCUUUAUUCUUGAACGUCCUUUUCUUGUUUCUGUAUCUGUGGCGGUUCCACUCCCCGUGUGUGUCUGUGUGUCAGUGUGGUACGAAGCGGCCGCUCGGUCCGAUCCGGACCCGAGCGUGUGAGUAAGGCAGCAUCGCGCCCGGUCGGUUCUGUGUUUGGUUCUAAAAGACGAAGCAGGAGACUGGAAGGCAAAAUGAGGGUCGCUUCUUAAAGAGGAGGAGUCCAGUCCGACCCGCCGGCCUCUGGCAGUGCUCCUCUUGUCCAGGUUUUCAGUCCGUUUAGGAAACCGAGCACAGUGAGAAAGACACUUACUCAUCAUAUUCAUCUCCUCUUCGCUGGAAAAUAUCAGUCGCAGUGCACAGACUGUGUGAGCCCCGUGGAUGGAUCUGGGACUGAAGAGUCAUAAAGUAGUCCCCCCCCCUCCCCUUCAUGAAACGGGUCUGCUCCAGUUUCUCGGCGGCGGGAGUUACUUCUUCGUGGUCCCCGGGUUCUUUGGGCUGGGGGCCUUUUUGGAGAUGGUGGGAAUCUUGGAGGGUUUGGCCCCGGGGCGGCGCGGGGUGUCCGAGGCGUCGCUGCCGCGCCGGCUGCUGGCUCGGCUGCCGGCUCGGCUGCCGGCCCGGCUGGCCGGCCCGCUGGCUGUGGAGGCCCCUCGUUUGGGAUCUAGUGGGUAGACGGUCCAGAGUUAGUGCACCAUCACGCUUUAGCCACGCGAGCAGCUUUCUUAAUAGAUCUCUCACAAUCUUGGUCCCUAGAGGAUGAAUCCGAUCCCAUUAGCUGUCACCUCCACUCAACAGACCAGCUGCAAAUAUCGUCUGGACAUGUUCUCGCUCCACUAUUGAAGGUCACAUUGGUGGUUCUGAUCAACAUUAUACCUGCCCAACAUCUCCACGUCACACAGCUCCCAGUUGUGUCAUGUGAAGAGGAAAGAGCUAAUGGAGUGAUCAUGAAUGCCACAUGCCACACACAGUCUACGGCGUCAUGUGACGGUUCGCUCACCGGCUCGUGCCGGCUUGCUGGAGUGCGGCGUCCCUCCGUUCUCUCCAGUCAGCGAGCCUCGACUCGAGUGGAACGUGGGCCUCUUUAGUUUGGACCCUGACGGCGCCCCCUGCAGGAGAACAGUCAUCAGAUGAAGGACAACUGGACUGCGGAGGUCAUGUGACUGUGACAUGUGACACACACUAGUAUUUCAUCACUGCAGAACAAAGAGAAUCACAGACAGCACAUCUAAUGACAGAUGGACGCUUACACAGACACAACCAAACUAACCAUCUCUCCCACCUUCUACCUUGGAGGAGUAAACUAUUGAUUCAUGACUCCAUCCAUAAAAUAGGGAUUGUUAAGUAUUAUAAAACAUAAUAAUAAUAAACAAGCAGCAAGGCCGAAGCUCCAUCAGUCUCUAACAGUUAAGGUUAUUAGACUGUUCUGAUCCAAAAGAACCAAUAGUUUCUACUGUAAAAUGUAACCGUUUGUAAGACCGAGUAAGAAAAUCAGGAAAAAGUCACAGGCGUCAAUACGUCUUUGUGAACAUCAGGUCAUUUGUACCGAAGCGGAUUGGAACUCUUCACAGCCCUCAAGAGACGACCUUGGAUUCAAACAUGCUAACCAGCUAAAGCUGCAGCUUCAGCGUUUUCCCAUCACAACAGCAGACGUUUCUGUGGGCCGGUGCGAGCGUUAGUGCAGUAGCGCGUUCAGUGGGGGGGGUCGGGGGGGGGGCAGGGAGCAUGGUGGGUGGGGUGAGUGUGUUACCUCGUGCCCAGGAGUGGUGUGGCCGUGACCGAGAUCUGGGCAGCAGUGGCACUUGGCUGACGUUGGAGUUUUACUGUGUGACAGCCAGGGCUUGGCAUAGUCACGCGAGUGAGUGUGGGAGGACUGAAGGGAGGAAGGGAGCAAGGAAGGACGACAGGACGGGAGGAGGAGGGCGAAACAGUAAACGAGGGAAGCAAGUGAAGGAGUGAUGGAGUUAAGGAGGGAAGUGGAGGAGCGGUUGGAUGGCGAGGAAAUGCAGCGCAGUGGAUUGUUGUGUAAAAGCAGAUGAUUUGAUUUGCAGUUUUCAUUUGGUUCAGAGAAGCCAACAAAGCAGGGAGGACAUUUUUUUGAAGGCAGGUUAGCAGGAAUGACAGGAACGAGGGGAGAAGAUGAAAGACAAAACAAAAAAAACAAGAACACAAAAUAAAAAUUUGCAGUUAAGGAUGUGGUGACUGAACAACAACAACAACAGCAGCAGGAUGACAACAACCUAACAACGUGUAACAAACAAAAAACACACAAACACAUUCAGAGUCCCCGGUAUGUGUUCAGUCGCUCAACACUGACAGUAAAUGUCUUUACACGCUAAAUGGAUGACAAAUGACUACUGAUGGCUACAUGUGGUCUGGUUGCCUGGCAACAACACGGACGGACCAUCUGGAUGACAGCCUCGUUGUCUUUGAGGUUCUGUCAAUAAAAAUUAAAAAAAAACCUGCGUACGAAUCGGACUCUUACCCUGGACGACGCGGAGGCCGUCGGCGUGGCGGGGGUGGAGGGAGCGGAGGGGAGGGAGGCCCCGCUGUGGGAGGCCGAGGAGGAGGAGCGGGUGGGCGAGGCGUUGCGGGAGCCGGGUUUGGAGCGGCGACCCCGCGAGCGGAAGGUGGCCAGACCCUGAGACGUUCCUUCUGGGAGGAUGAACUUCUCCCGGAGCUCCAGGUUGGUGCGGCCGCGAGCUGGAGGGAAACAGACGGGGAAAAGGACAAUGAGUUACUUUCUAGGCCGGAUAACAGUUCCUCCGAUGGGGCGAUAGGGGAGGGGGGGGGGGGAGGCACAGGCAGCGAGCAGAGGGAGGGAGAGAGUCGGUGCUUCCGUGGCUGCAGACGUCAGCAUCCGUGCACUUUUCUUUUGAGAGUGCAGGGUGGAUGUUUGGAGGGGGGGUCCAGGGGGCGGUGAGUGCAGGCGGGUCCAGUUGUUCUUGGUGGGAGCGCUGAGCGACCGCGUGUGAGUGGAAGCGCAUUCGAUACGCAGCGAACGUUCACCGAGCGAAGCCCGCGGAUCCUCAUCCUCCGCUCAUCACCAGUGAAAACGUUCUCCGCCCGCCGGAGGUUCUUCUGCACCACUCAAUUAGAAAGCCACCGACUGCGUCUUUAAAGGAACAGCUCAACAUUUGGGUUUUCCUCACUCGCUCGGUGUGACUCACUUCUAGAUGUCUGGGUCAGGAAGCUUGUCUUUGUCCAACAAUCUAAUGUUGUUAAUUCAAUUAUUAUUAUUUUUUUCCAGAUGCAUUGAUCUUGCAAGAUCUUCUACAUGUCAGCGAGUCACUAGAAGCUUUUAGAAAACAGAUUACAGCAGCGUGCGGGUGUUUCACAUGAGGGGAAAUGAACUCCAGGCACACGCUGCUUUUCCUAAAUGUUGAACCAAUCCGUUAAGCGAUGGCACGCGUCUCCCUGGUCUGUCAAAAAAGACAUUUCCACAGAGUGACGGAGACACUUUCAUUGUGUAUUUGAAGAAAGAUCUGAGGUCGGUGCGAGCAAAAAGCACAGCCUCUCUUCUGUCCUUCCUCUGCAGGGUCUCCGGUCUCCACUCGUUUGGGCGUCUCGCUGCAUCUCAGCCGUGUGUCCACAGCGGGUCUGGACAGGUCUCAGGCCCGGUUUAAGCUAAGCGGGAGUCAAAACCUCUUCAAAACGAGCCGCGACAGCAUUCAUGUACAGAAAGUAGUGCAGCAGCCCCAGCAGACGACAACAAGCCUGGAGAAGCCAGCCAGAGACACAGAGAGACAGAGACAGAGACAGAGAGACAGACAGAGACAGCAGUGGGAAAUGGAACACACAAAAAUAUGACAGGACAGGAAAUCACGAGGAAGGAUGGAAGAAAAACUAAUAAGUGAAAAUAGGCAGAGGAAGGUGGAGAAGAAGGCUGCAGUUGGCCGUAGCAGCAGUGCAGCUCGCGGCCUCGUCCCCCGGCAACCCAACGGCAAGACCGCUCAAUUAGACGGGUGCACCCUGCAAUUACGUCCCUGAACGCCAUCCAAGCCAGGUGCACCCUGUAAUUGCGUCUCCCACCAACCAGCCGGCGCAUUUAAAGGAGCCACGUUGGAAGCCGGCGCUGUUGGGAACGCGGGCUGGCCACGCCCCCCAGGUCUUACUCCCACCGCCCCCCGUGUGAUGUUCAUUUUAACAUGAAAACACGACUAGACAACAGUUUUACGUUUAUAUCUAUUUGCUGAGACAUUCCUCAUCAUGCAGUCAUAACAUUUAAAAGAAAAGCUAAUUAAAAGUAUAAUACAAUAAAGACCAGGGGGUUGGCCAAACCCUGCGUGAUCGUGAGUGAAGAAAGCAUGACUGACAUCAAUGCCUAAACACACACACACACACAGACCUUAGACCAGUUAGAAACUGCGCACACACACACACACACAUCCAUAUGGACACGGAGAGCAGAGCAGUGGUUAAAGAUGGAGACUGACAGCUGGACGCAGCGUGACAGAGCAGCAGAGAGAGAAAUGUAGAUACCUCGGCAGCAGAAAUAGCCAGGAGUGACAGUCACUGAGAGACACAAGAGAAAACGGGAAAUAACUGCAUGCUCAGUCAAAUGAAGUGUCUCACACACCAACAGGCACCACUGUGCUGUUAUCUUAUGCACAGACCAUAAAACACACAACCAACCAACCAACGACCCCUGAAAAGUGGUUUAAAAGACAAGUCAGGAUAUCAGAGCUUGCAUGAGCAACAACAGCUGGGGGUUUGGGGGUUUGGGGUCAGGAGAGCAGAACAGUGGGGAGACAUAACAUUAGUCAGGUGAUCACAGUCAGCAAGGCACAAGAUCAAGGUCAAACUCAACAAAUCUCAAGGAGACGAGAUGAGUGAGAGAGGAGGAGGAGAGAGGAGAGGCAGGAAGAGACGAGGGGGGCAGAUGAGGAGGCAGGCUGUUACGGAGAGAGGGAAGCGUAAGGGAUUGAUGAGAAGGUCCAACCUAUACGAGAUGAGAUGGAGCUACUGGAAUCGGAGCGGAGAAUCUUAAGUCCCGGAUGUUGCACUGGGGAAAGAGAAAAAGGGAGGGAGGGAGGAAAAGAGAGGGGGGAGGAAGAGGGAGAGAACUGAGGACCAUGCACCAUGCAAUACUACCAUUUUAUUUGAAAAGUGAACGGAAUAAUUAAGACAGAGGGGGGAGAAAAAGAAUCGGGACAGAGGGUGUGGAGGGAUGAAGUCCUUGAGGAUGAACUCAGGGAGACGUGAGCAAUAAAGAUGGAGGGAGAAACAGAGACACCAGAUGUGGACGGCCCUUGACGGGGGACCCGGAGGGACGAGUGGCGGCGUCUCGUUGCGCCACCGGCUGACAGACGGCUCCACGCGUCGUCACUUAGCGAGUUGUGUUUCCCUCCAGCACGCCGCUGUGAAUGUGACCAGCGGUGUGUUUGUAGAGCGAGAGUGUGCGUCUGUGCGAGAGGCCGACCGAUAUCCACCAUCCAACAUGGCGCCCGACGCGUUUCAAUCAAAAGGCCUCAUUCUGACGGCUCAUCGAAUUGCAUUUGAACAAAAGAUAACAAGUAUAGAUUCAUAGAUAAACACGAUCACAUGUAUUAUAAUACUGUGUAUAGUGGGUUAGAGUACUGUAUAAAAAGAGGUUUUCUGUAGACAAACGAGGCAUAAUGUAAGUAGUUAAUAUCAAUCCACUUGAGGACACUAUGUUCUUCUUAAGAGAAAAGGCCUCUGGUAGCAAGCUGGAAGCAGAAAGGUCAGCAUGACUGCCAAGGAAAAACAUUUUUAUACCUCCAUGUGUAUAAAACCACCACAAAUGAACAACGAGUUAAUAAUGUAGCCUGUUUCAAACUGGUGGAUCCAUGCUGAUUAAGCGACUACAGGCAGGUUCAUUACGAGGACACUUCCUCUGCAGGGAGACGGGCAAAUGGACUCAACUGUAAAAUGUCGUAAAUCAACCAGAUAUAAAGACACUACAUUUAAAAAGGUUUAGGUACAAAGAAAAAACUUCCACAGGAACACAUGGUCAGUCGGGCUCUGGUGUGAGUAUAAAAAGGUGAGACCGAGCAGGAGAAAGGAGGGGUGUGUGUGUGUGUGUGUGUGUGUGAACCCCACUCACCUCUGCACGGAUCAUUUUUGACCAGGAACUCAUCCAGCGCCAUCCAGCCACCUCCGACUCUCACCAUCACCGUGCUGCGCAGGAUCCUCACCAGACGCAGCUGCUGAGAGUCACCGAACUGAUAAGUGAACGGAGCAGAAAACCAGGGGAGGAAAAAGAAGAAUGAGCAGAUAUAAAGGGAGGAAAAGGAGAGAGAGAGAGAGAGAGAGAGAGAGAGAGAAAGAGAAGGAAUCAGGAAGAGUCAGUGAUCAAAAUAGUAUUUGAUAGAUCAUUUGAAUUGAAUCACAGCAUCCCAGAGCAGCCCAGGUACCAGAUCUGUUCUACUCCAUGCAAUGACAGAAGGAACAUGCACUGGACGGUCGGAUGAUUCCCAUCAGCCACCCAAACACGAGCGUUAUCAUUAACAGUAGAGGAAACAAACCGCCGAGCAAAGCCCCAGCAGAGGGAAUGCAGAUCUGCUUCCCAGCUUCAGUGCACAGCGCACUAUACAUCCCCUGCAGGCAGGUCCCGCCGGGCUCACGAUGCACAACCCGUCACUCAUAACACCAAACAAAUCACAGCUGGACGGUGAAACCGGCUUCCUCUGCUUUUGUGCCACGAGCUCAUUUUGGAAUUAGAUACUAAGAAGCAGAAUCACAGGGAAGCAGAUUUCACACAUCCGAUCACAGCAGCGGCGCCUUACCUGGUUUCCGAGGAAGAACUACAAAAAAUCCAGCAGACACGGAGCACAGGAACACAAGGAGAAAGAAACAGAGCCAGAGUGAACCAACAUGUAGUGAAUCCAUACCAUUUAUGUGUACGAGUUUCCAAUAAACCCUUCACGUCUUCUGUUAUUUGAGCUCAGGAUUAGUUGCGUGAGCACGAACAUGAACGCUUGUGGAUGUGAUCACGGUGCUUCGUUAACUGAUGAGGAGGAUGGAGGUGAAGGCAGCGACGACACGUGAAGUCAGCAACAAACAUGAAGACGAGAUGUGACACAAAGUAGUCGGCGUAGUGUUAGUCACACACUCAUGGAUUGGACACACAUUCUGGAGCAGUGGGAGUGAUGGGAGUGAUGGGCGAUCCAGUAAGUGAUGCAGGAACGCCACACAGACCGCUCAGAUCACUGCAGGGUUCAGACUCCUCUUCAUCCAAACACAUUGAAACAAGCCCUGAACCCGGCUUGCAUGAGGAAGAUGUUUCUUUUUAGCCAACAGGGUCCUACAAUCUUUGGAUUUAUGUUUCAAGGCUUAAAGAUACAGUUCACCCUCAACUCCUUUUUAUUUAUUUCUUCCCUCUUGCACAGCGGUGUGAGGGCGGAAGACAUCAGCUGUCCAGAUGACUGAUUCGCUCAUUUAAAACCAAACUGCACUCGACUCGUGGCGCCCAAACAUACAUUUCAGAAAUAGGUCAUUUAAAAUAACAACUCGCUCACAUUUUUGUGAGCAGUUUCAUCUUUUGUAUCACCGAACAGCUGUGCUGCUAACUGACCUAGCUAGCGUUAAAGCUAAAGAACGAGCGCUGUAACGUUUAACACUAAAUGCAAGAAGCAAAUCAGCCUUAAGAGGCGCCAUUGAGCCUUCUGUAGCCCCGCCUCCCCGGACCGGGGGUCUUAAAACUUGCAUUGGCUGUGAUUGAUCUUUACUGGUGUUCAGAGACUUCAACCCUUAAACAAAGGUUUGAACAUGACCAUCACCUCAGUUCUUCAUAAGCCAAGUUUGGAUAAAAAUGCCUGUAAAUCUGGUAGCACUGUUGUGUAAAUUUGCAUUUUGUUUUGUUAAUUUAAUUUACACUUUCUAACUACAAGACAUUUUUGAUCCUAGCAGCUCUAUUCAGUCACACUUACAUCACGUUAUUAAUGUUUUGGUGAUAACAAAGAAGGCGGAAAAUCCUGGCAGGCAGUGAGAUUAGUUAUUAACUCGUUAUGUCAAUGUUAUCUUGACACGAUAUGAUACAAUACAGACAGUUAUUAAUACAACAUGACAUCAUGGUUUGAGAUGGACACACAAAGUAGAUGCUGAGAAGUUAUGUUGAGGUUAAAUGGUGAAGCCAGUUAAUAAUAAACUGUCCAUUAAUCAGAUCGGGGUCAAAGCGGCCAAGUUUGCAAAGUAACAGUUGACAAUUUCUCAUGGGUUUUUAUCUGUACAGAAUCUGUAAUUGUUCUAUUUUGCAAAUUAAUAACUAGGAGCCAAAGAAACGGACUUCAGGGUUUAAAUCCCUGCAAAUGUAUACUGCUAAUCUAAGCACAAAGAAACAAGAUUCUUUACAAAUCCAUUUUGACCGAAGUCUGUCAAUAUUUACAAAGCAAUGAAUUGACUGCAGGUCGUUUGCUCUCUAAACAUCAUCAAUCUGAACCAGAGACUGAGCUGAACUUACCCGGUAUUUGUUCUCUCCUAUCUGCUCCACCUGGAACCUCUUGGCACAUUUACACUGAG